UACGGGGGGGGCGAGCGUUGUUCGGAAUUGCUGGGCGUAAAGGGUGCGUAGGCGGAUGUUCAAGUCGGGGGUGAAAUCCCGGGGCUCAACCCCGGAAUGGCCUCCGAUACUGGACGUCUGGAGGACGGAAGAGGCGAGUGGAAUGCCGAGUGUAGAGGUGAAAUUCGUAGAUAUUCGGCGGAACACCCGUGGCGAAGGCGGCUCGCUGGUCCGUUGCUGACGCUGAGGCGCGAAAGCGUGGGGAGCAAACAGG
rnacentral:misc_RNA from 1 species